AUCAAUCUAGAUUUCCCAUUGUUUUGCCCAUUAGUGCUUAAAGUGGUAAAUUAAAUAACUAAAUUAUUUCUAUAAUUGAAAAUAGCUCAGUUUAUUAAAGAUAAUAUAACAUUUAUGUGAAUAAGUUAUUUAUAGCCCAAAUGGUGGCUUACUUUUGUUUUGGGGUCAUUUAAAGCAGUGUCGGCUGCUGACCUUAGGUUGCCUUAGAUGGCGACUGGACUGUAUUUUGUCAGAGAGAAGUCAAUGAGACCUUGUUCCUGGCACCCUGUGAGAUUGUGUUAACUAACAAUUACUCUGUGUAAUCAAAGCCCCUGUGCUCCGAAGCUCAGGGGGUCAGCCAAGCUGCUUCUUAAAGCCACCCACCUGGUUCCGUAAGGAGAGCCACUCUCUUUUGACUCCUCAGAGUUGUGAGUUGGGAGGUGGCCUCCCUGACACGUGUGACUGACAGCCUGCGGUGUGCUCAAGUAGGGUUACCACUACUUAACCCAUGAUGAAUCUUAGUCUCUUUCACAGCGCGACUAUACCCUUGACGUUUCAGGGAGUGAGUGGGGUCUUAAGAUCUGGCUUUGAAAAGAUGUUUUGAAAAUAAAACAUAAUGAAAAAUUAUAAAAUGAACCCCUUUUGGUUCAUUUCAGAAAAGUUUAACUCUGUUAUUACUCUCUAGCUUCAGCAGUAAUUUUUGUUUUAAUUGCUAUAGGGUUUCUGGCUUGUCACAUGCUUGUAUUUCAGUUGUGCAGAUUGUUGGGGAACUAUUCUCUACUGUCAGAACACACUGCCAGUCAGAGCUGUAAAAGGCAGAAUAUGCUUUCUUGGAAGGAGAAGACAAAAUAUUUGUAAAUUUUCAUAAUUUUUAAUAAUACCAUUUGUAUAAUUUUUUUAAUAAAUACCUACUUUGAAAAAA
rnacentral:lncRNA from 1 species